GAUGAACGCUGGCGGCGUGCUUAACACAUGCAAGUCGAACGAGAGAAGAUCGGUGCUUGCACUGAUCCGAUCGAGUGGCGGACGGGUGAGUAACGCGUGGGUAACCUGCCUCAUACAGGGGAAUAACAGUUGGAAACGGCUGCUAAAACCGCAUAAGCGCACGGUAUCGCAUGAUACAGUGUGAAAAACUCCGGUGGUAUGAGAUGGACCCGCGUCUGAUUAGCUAGUUGGUGAGGUAACGGCCCACCAAGGCGACGAUCAGUAGCCGGCCUGAGAGGGUGAACGGCCACAUUGGGACUGAGACACGGCCCAAACUCCUACGGGAGGCAGCAGUAGGGAAUAUUGCACAAUGGGGGAAACCCUGAUGCAGCGACGCCGCGUGAGUGAUGAAGUAUUUCGGUAUGUAAAGCUCUAUCAGCAGGGAAGAUAAU
rnacentral:rRNA from 1 species